rnacentral:tRNA from 1 species
GCCGGAGUGGCGGACUGGCAGACGCAGUGGACUCGAAAUCCAUCGGGACUAACACCUCGUGGGAGUUCGAGUCUCCCCUCAGGCACCA